rnacentral:tRNA from 117 species
GGGGCCUUAGCUCAGUUGGUAGAGCGCUGCCUUUGCAAGGCAGAUGUCAGGAGUUCGAAUCUCCUAGGCUCCAC